UGUCACAGAUGCAUGUACAGGGUUGGCUGACCAACCGUCCCAGUUGGCCUGGGACUGAGGGGUUUCCCAGGAUGCAGGACUUUCAAUAACUGUGACAGUCCCAAAAAAAACCAGAAUGGCUGGUCAACCUAGUUGAGAGAACUGCUGCAUGACUGCACUGCGUGCGCCGCAUACACAGGGUAGGUGCCAAGUGAGCGUCGUCCACCUUAGAAGACCAGCCUCAAGAGAGGAUUCAGCCCACUGGGGACACUUGGCUGAUGGACUGGUUACAUUGCAACACGUUCAGUGACUAUGAAACGCAAACUGCUUUUCCAGGUUGAGGCUCCUUCCUUUACACUGCAUUCUCCUUGGGAAAGGGCACAUAGAAGGAUGAGAGUGAAGCUGGGAGGCAAGAACAAAGCAGAGACCCUGAAGCCUGGUCUGUGGACAGGAAAGCCUCUAGAGGCACGACUGUCAAAGGGACAUGAUGCCUUUAAGGAGGAUGAAGUCAUUGCGGGAUGAGGCCACCUGGCUCUGCAGCCAGGGCUGCUGCCGAAAAGGAGAAGCAGAAGGUGGAAGACACCUGGAUUCUCCUAGCUGCUUGUUGUGAUAUCAUAAGGAUGCAGUCUCUGGAAAAUGCCCCUGAGCACUUGGGAGAGAAUGAGAGCAAAAAGGGUAAACCGUGCUUGAGUGACUCCUGAAGUCCCACAGCCAGUGAGUAGUACAGCGCAUCAUGGAGGUGAGUUGUCUUGGAAGGCUUGGGGAGUGGAACACAAGCUGGAAAAGGUAGAAGGAGGC